GGAUCGAUUGUAGGAGCAACAAAAGCUUCAUUCCUUGGAGGGAGAAGAUUGAGAGUAAGCAAUGUACCUGUAGCCGGAUCACCGCGUGCUGCAACUACAGUGUGUGUUGCUGCCGACCCCGACAGACCCCUCUGGUUCCCUGGCAGCGUCCCUCCUCCAUGGCUUGAUGGCAGGUCAGUCAUGAUCCAGCUAGUAUAUCAUACUGUGUAUAUUUAUCAGGUGAAAGUUCACGCAAUCAAUCAAUCAAGCUAUUAAAAUUCCUCGAUCUAGCUAGUAUUAUAUAGUUUUUUUGGCAUAAUAUAUAUAGACGGACACUUAAACUUACCCUCAACCGAUAAGUAAGCACUCUAAUUUUGUGCACAUUUAGAUACCUCAACUUGAUUUUAACUAGCAACUAAACACUCCAACUUAUACUUACUGUGUCUCGUGAAUGCCCCACACUGAUGUGACUGGUACAGUGGAUACGAGCUGAGGUAUCUAGAUGUGUAUACUCAAAGUUGGAGUAGUUACUUGUCAGUUGAGGUCAAGUUUGAGUGCCUGUUUAUGUGUUAUGCCUUUUUAAAAAAAAGAAUAAUUGGAGUAGGAAAAGGGGAUUACAAGAUGGAAAAUCUAAAGCUCACCAAUAAGGUGAAAGUUCAUGUAAUCAAUCGACUGAACUACUGAGAUUUUCUAAUCUAUAUGCUGAAAUUAUUUUAUUCUUCUUCGUUUUGCAGCCUUCCCGGAGAUUUUGGUUUCGAUCCUCUUGGCCUAGGUAUAUAUCAGUCUAAUUCUGAUUUUUCAAUUUAGGAUACAUACAGAAGGGAAGCCUUGGAGUAACUGGUAAAGUUGCUGUCAUGUGACCAGAAGGUCAUGGGGUCAAGCCUUGGAAACAGCCCCUUGCAGAAAUGUAAGGUGAGGCUACGUACAAUAGAUCUUUGUGGUCGGGCACUUCCCCGGACUCUGCGCAUAGCGGGAGCUUAGUGCACCUGCCCCUUUAGUAUUGGAUAUAUAUAGAAGGGGAGCCUUGGAGUAACUGGUAAAGUUGCUGCCAUGUGACCAGGAGGUCACGGGGUCAAUCCUUGGAAACAUCCCCUUGCAGAAAUGUAAGGUGAGGCUACGUACAAUAGAUCCUUGUGGUCGGGCCCUUCCCGGGACCCUACGCAUAGCGGGAGCUUAGUACACCGGGCUACCCUUCAGUAUUGGAUAUAUAUAGAUGUCUAUAGAUAUAACUUGUGUAUAUCAUUUGAGUACAGGAUCUGACCCAGAGAGCUUGAGAUGGAACCAACAGGCAGAGAUUGUACACUGCAGAUGGGCAAUGUUGGGAGCUGCAGGAAUUUUCAUUCCAGAAUUCCUCACGAAACUCGGUAUCCUUAACACACCUUCAUGGUACACUGCUGGUGAACUAGAAUACUUCACGGACACAACGACUCUCUUCAUCAUUGAGUUGAUACUUAUCGGUUGGGCCGAGGGAAGAAGGUGGGCCGAUAUCAUCAAGCCUGGUUGUGUAAACACUGACCCUAUCUUCCCUAACAACAAGCUCACAGGGACAGACGUUGGUUAUCCAGGAGGCUUAUGGUUUGAUCCGUUGGGUUGGGGUUCGGGUUCACCUGAGAAGAUAAAGGAGUUGAGGACAAAGGAGAUCAAGAACGGUAGACUUGCUAUGUUAGCCGUUAUGGGCGCAUGGUUCCAACACAUUUACACUGGAACAGGUCCUAUUGACAACCUCUUUGCUCACCUUGCUGAUCCCGGUCACGCCACUAUUUUUGCUGUAAGUACAACCACAUUUUAAUUCAUACUCUUGGUUAUUCGAGUUACAACAACAACAUACCCAGUGUAUUCCCACCUACUAGGGUCUGGGGAGGGUAAAAUGUACGCAAUCCAUACCUGAUACCACCACCUAUCACCACCUCUGAAGAAGUAGAGAGGCUGUUUCCGAUAGACCCCUGACUCAGGACAAAAAGAUACUUAGAAAGUCUUGAUAAAACAUGAAACAAGAUGAAAUAACAUAAAUAAGACACCCACAAAGUAGUACUAUACACUAUUAACUAGAGACUCCAACUCUUGGUUAUUCAAGUUAAUGGUCAAAAACACAACUUAAAGUAUCCACAUUUUUCGAGUUUCAUAUCUAAAUUAUCAGGUGUGCGAGUCACUGAAGUUGUUUGUGAUUAUGUUUCAGGCAUUCACUCCCAAGUGAGAAGAAGAAGCAUGAGGAUAUUUUGAUGUAAUGAAUGAUGUGUAAAAGUAACAUUUGAAGUAGAUUUGUGCAAAGAGAACUAAUGUUUCUUUCCCACAUUUGGUUUGCUCAUGUCUGUCUUCUGUCGAAAAAGACUAAGCAAUGUACAAAUACAUUUCGACAACUCGUAUCAGAUCAAGAAAAUCUAUUUAUAUAUGUUCAUUCAUUUGCAUGAUAGAAGAUUUUUACUGCAAUAGUCUACAAAGAUACACAGGAACUGGAUGGUAAGAGACUUUGGUUCUAACCUUUAUUUUACCAGCUUUCGUUAUGUAAAAAGCUAAUAAGAACCGCGUUUCUCAUAGUAAAGUUAUUUCGUUAAGAAUCAGUAUGUAGAGUAGAAAGGGAGCCUUGGAGUAACUGAUAAAGUUACUGUCAUGUAACCAAGAGGUCACAAUUUCAAGUAAAGUAACAGACUUUCGCAACCUAUAUUUCACCAGUUUUCAUUAUGUAAAAGGCUAGUAAGAACUAAGUUGCUCAUAGUAAAGAUAUUGCUUCAUAGGGAUAAAGUUGUUUGAUCACGCGAUUGGUUUGGUUGUUUGUUUUAGAAUUCUGCUUCCGGUACCCUUCACGAAUCUAUUUUUGCCACUUCUGUUAAGAAUCGGUACCUAAAUUAGAAGUGGAGCCUUGGAGUAACCGGUAAUGUCGCUACCAUGUGACCAGGAGGUCACAGGUGUGGAUCAGCCUAUUGCAUAAAUGCAAGGUAAGGUUGCAUUGCAACCCUUGUGGUUCGUCCCUUCCUGGGAUCCCAUGCAUAGCAAGUGCACCGGGCUUCCCAAUCAAUAAGGAUAUUGAGUAUACGGUUGAUGUAUCAGACUCGACCUUAUCUUUGGUGGCAUGCAUUCCCAUCCAAUCCAUGUCAUAACAUUAUUUUGAACAUAUCCAAUAAUGUCCGAACUCUUUCUUCUGUAUCGAGUAUUAUCGAAAUAAACUUCAACUCCAGUUUAUUUUCCUCAUCUUAAUUUCAACUUUGGCCACGAUGAUUUUACCAUAUAAAUGUUGGACGAAAGGGUUAACUCCAAAUACUAUGAGCCACCAUAAAGCUCUACUGUAAAUUAGGGGAAAAAAACUCUAGUAACAAAUUGCUUUAUGGCACCAAAGUUCAAAAGUUACACAAAAAAGAUUAAAUCUUCAAGAGCAUGAUUAAUAAGUUAUUGGAUAUUAUAAAUGUUGUAAAAAUUCUAGUAGUGUGAUUAUGUGUGUGUUUGAAACUGAAGUACAAGAUAGGAGGACAAAAAUCGAAGUAAAAAACAUCUUCAUGUAACAGAUACAACAACAUACCUAGUGAAAUCCCACAAGUAGGGUGUGGGAGGGUUGAGUGUACGCAGACCUUACCCCUAGAUAAAGAGAUCAUUUCCGAAGGACCCUCGGCUAAAAAAAAAAAGAGUUAAAGUGAAUCAAGGCAAGCCAAGAGUAAGGGACACCUGGUCCUGUUCUAAAAGUACACAAAAAUUCAACAGUAAAACAAUUUUGAUAUAGCUUUCUAGGAGGGGCUUCGGGUUUGAACCAACAACAUCCUUCUCUUGUCUUUGCUGCUUCAUUUUUCUCUCUCAUUGCACGUGAACUUAGAAAGGCCUUGUGCAUUCCCUAUUGCUUUCGUCAAUGGUUCUAUGUGAUGAAGUUCAUACUGAUUUCAUUGUUUCUUUGGAUACUCCCUCGGUCCAAAUAUGGUGGAUCCAAUUCUCACAUUGGUGCUGCCCAUUUCUAUCUGCAGUAUUACGACAGAGAAUCAACACAACACGUACGAGCAGUUUCCAAAUGCAGCUUAUAUAUACUUUAAAUGAGCAAAAUAGAACCAGCUCAUAUUUUUCAUAAUUCCAUGCUUACUUCGGGAAUAAAACAGACUUCACAAAUAGUCCACAAAAUAUAUUAGGAAAUCCAUUGGCAGAAAGGCGAAAGAUGGCCAGCUUGAACAAUUGUAACUGAUUCAUAAACUUGUUUUGGGUUCACAAUACGAGAAAAAUAAGUUGAGGAGGAAAAUAUAUUUUUGCAUCAGCAUGCUAGAGGCGUUAAAUUAAACUUAAGGAUAACGGAGUAGUCAGCUGCCGCAAAUGAAAUUAAUAAGAAGUGAUUCUUUCAUUAGAAUUAAUUUAUUGGAUGAAAAAGAUCAGUUUUUUUAACAAGGUAAGAAAAUACCAGCUUACCGCUAACUCAAAGUCACUAGACAUGCCCAUUGAUAACUCACAUCGAGAUUCAGCCAUCCCAAGCACCUUGCAAACUUCAGUUCUACAAUUCAGUAGCGUCUAUCGCAUUACAAGAAAAAUGGAGAUCAUCAAUUUGGAGAAAUUGCGAAAUAUGGUGGAGUUAAUAUGAACAAUUUGAGUUAAUAUGAAAAAUGGAGUUAAUAUGAAGCUCCCAACAUGCAUGACUCAAAUAUAUCCAUUUGAUAACAAACUUCUCAAGGAUUCCAUAUACAGAAAUUACUUAGCACAAGAAAAGCAUCUUUCUAUAAUACAUAAGAUCUAAAGUAGGGAAAGAAAAGAAAGAAAAAUUCCCAUAACUAUGAAGAAAAUUGUUUUGGUGACUAUUACCAUUAAAAUUAACGAAAGAAAACUUCCCAUAACAAUGACGAAAAUUGUUUCGGUGACUAUUACCAUUGACGAAAAAGGUCUGCCUUCAACACUAGGUGAUUUCUUCACAUCUAUCCGGGCCUUGAUGGACAGAGCUACUCAGUUACCUCAUACCUGUGCUGGUGGGAGGUAGCAGGUACCUCAAGGAAUUAGUCGAGGUGCGCGCAAGCUUACCCGACACCACAGUUAUCAAGAAAAAAUGCCAGCUUUCAGUAGUUUAUGAUUGUUCUUCCUUUGCAUCUUUUAUUAGUAAAGAGUGGGACAUUUUCAAACAGUUGAGGGGACUUGGAAUUCUUAUAUGUCAUGUAAAACUAAAUUAUGGAUUCAUUACAGAACAUCACCUUGAAGUUCUCUGGGGUUGAAGUGUAGUCAGGCCUUCCAAUUGUCAUUAGGCCAGAGAACUCAAGGUUUGGGCAAUCCAGCUUGACAUGUCUGGCAAGCUCUAUGCAAUUUGAUGGAUCAACACCAGAUUUUGCUGCAUAUAGUUAAAUUAAUGAAUUUACGAGUUCCUUCGGAAGUAGAAAGACUGGAGUCCUUCUUUGGCCUUGAACGUCAAAAAAAAAGCAUUGUACAUUUCGAUCAAACAUGCAUUACUGGCACUGAAGGAAAAAAAAUCCAACAACUCAAUCCAAAAUUUGUGAGAUUUCAUCUGCAAGUUAACCAGUACUCUGAGGACUUGAAGCAACACAUCAGAAACCUUUCAAUAACCUAAACCAUAAAAAAGGGCAGCCCGGUGAAGAAAAGCCCACGCUAUGCGCGUGGUCCGGGGAAGGGACGGACCACAAGGGUCUAUUAUAUGCAGCCACACCUUGCAUUUCUGCCAAAGGCUGUUUCCACGGCUUGAACCCGUGACCUCCUGGUCACAUGGUUGACCAGCACUUAUACCCGUUACUCCAAGGCUCCCCUUGAAUAACCUAAACCAUAUUGCUCCGUAAACACCAACAACCUAAUAGCAUGUAGAUCUAAUUACUAGAGUUGUCGUCAAUCCUGCCUAGUUUCUCUCAGAAUCUGCAAGCAAGAAUGAGGAGAAAAGAUACUCACACUCCUCUCCGCUGGUAUUAACUUGAACCAAAACCUUCAAGGGCUGCCUGCCAAUGCUUGAAACCGCACGAUCAAGAUGAUUUGCAAGCUGCAGAUUAGAAAGAAAGUUGUAUGAUUGAUCAGCUUUGUUCAAUUCAAACAAUUAUAUGCAUUCAAAGUGACUAUAAUCUAAACAAACAAAAUUAUUAAAGCUUCAAGGUGUGGUUGAAUUUUAACAACGACCAGAUACAGAAGGAACUCAGGAGAGAAAUGAAUGAAGUAGCACAUUCCACCGCACUCAGUUUAUAAACCGACAGCGGAUCCACUUUGAUAUAGCUAUUUAUGUUAUGAUAACCAUGUGGGGCUAAUUUAUAUUGAUCUCGGUUUUUAUUAUCCUGAUGAACUGUGAAAGUAAAUUACAAAUAACCAUGCNNNNNNNNNNNNNNNNNNNNNNNNNUGCUGAACUGUGAAAGUAAAUUAAAAAUCACACUGCUGCUGGCUUAGUGGAAAUAGAAGUAGAAUAUGACAUUUUCAAGAUUAAACAAGUUGACUACUCCUUAAGUUCAUCAAGCUUUAAGAAACACAGGUAAACUCUUUACCUUCGGGUUAUCAACGCCAUGAAUCAUAGCUAGAUUGGGAACAGCAGCUGCAGUGAAGGAGGUAAACUUUAGACAAAUUUAAGAUUGAUAUACUUAUCCUAUUUACACAUAAGCAUAAAUGCUUCCUGAGAGUAAGGAGGGGGUCUGCUCUUGUCAGGAUACCCAAAAAAAAAAAAGGAACCGUUUAUACUCUAGUUAGACACUUCAACUCUCACCUUUCAGGUCCUUAGCACUAAAUAACAAAUUGUUAGUUGAAAUGGGAAAAGUGAAGUGGAAGAUCAUACGUCCAAAAGAAAAUAGCAGGCUUGUCAUUCACCAAAUUAAGCAUGGAGAGGCGAUUUUGGCCCUGAGUUGAUGGUUGAUACAAAAUAAAAAGGUUUCUGCACUCUACUCAGACACUUCAAUCUUAAUUCUUACAUUACAGCAUACAGGUCCUUAGCACAAAAUAACAAAUUUUUAGUUGGAAAAGGUUAAGAGAUAAUACAUUGAGGAAAUUAUGCAGACUUGUAUUUUACCAACAGAGCAAUUGGAAAAGAAUCAAAGUAACCAAAUAUAAGAUCCUAUGGAUCAUUGAGGAAACAAAUGCUAGCAACAAGAGGGGAAUCCAAAAUUUUGAAGUCUUUGUUGAAAACCACUGAAUCAAUGCAUACACACAACUUCCAACCUCUCGUUGGAAACCACAAAAAGUAAAGAGCGAGAAGUGAUGUCAAUUGAUGGACAAUUUAGGGAAGUUCGAUAAUAACAAAACAAAAUAUUGCACAAAAUACUUAGAUGAGCCCGUACUCAGGAGUUGCUUCACUUUAUUGCUCUGCAAAUGCCCAAUAUAAUGCCAUUCUAUGUCCUCCGGAAGCUGUAUAUGAACAAUACAUAAUCAAUAUACCACAAUGAAAAAAAUCUGCCCGCAACUAUCAACUACUCCAUUUGUCCCAAUUUACGUGGCACUUUUCACUUCUCGAGAUUCAAUUAUUCUGAACUUUGACCAACAUUUUAAAGUGUAUUUUUUCAACAUAUUAACAUGAGAAUAAUUGUGACUUAUAGUAGAUUGUAUAGUUGUUGAAUAUCCAAAUUUUACUUCUAAUCAAGUUGAUCCGAUAUCAGUCAAAUUCACUCGAGAAGGGGAUGGAUAGAGUAUCAUUUAUGUCUCAAUCCCAAAUUAACUCAGCUAUAAGAAUUCUUUUUAUAUCCAAAGUUCAUGGCCAAAAACACACCUGAAUUGUCCCAUUUUUCGCGAGUUUCCUACUUUCCUACCUGAACUAUCAUAGAGUAUUUCUCAAAACACACCUGAAUGGUCAGUUGUUCUUUUUUCCUCCGUGAACUAUCACUUGCUAAUUUUUUUUUUGAGUUCCAUACCUGAACUAUCACGUGUGUAAGUUUCCUACAUGAACUAUCACCAACUAUUUAUCAAGACAUACAUGAACUAUCGUGUUACCUUUAGUUCAUGUAAGGAAAAGGGAACAAAUGACGGUUGAAGUGUGUGUUGAUAAAUACUUUGGGUAUGAAAAGUGAAUCGGCUAGGAAACUCGCAAAAACGUGAUACUUCAGCUAUGCCCUUUAGCAAUUUCUCUUAUAUCUAUUCACCUUUAUUUAUGAACAUUUUUAAAAAGCAAAAAAAACGUUUUUCCUCUUCAACAAUUUGUCUCAAUCUAAAGCUCAAUUAACAUAACAAUAAAAUACAAUAUAAUAUGAUGCAUUAUGAAACAACAUGUAACAACCAUCCAAAUAGUGUAUAGUACUUGUUGUAUAGUUUAUUUAAAAUUCUAGAACAUUGAGUUGAUCUAGUGUUACCAUAUUGACCCGAGAAGUAGAUGGAUAGAGUAUCAUUUAUGUCUCAAUUCCAAAUUAAUUUCAUUACAGGAAUCCUUUAUCUCUAGAGUUACAAGUCAAAAACACACCUGAAGUAUCACCUUUUUUGCACGUUUCCUACCUAAACUACUACAACAACAACAACUACCUAGUGUAUUCCCACAAAGUGAGGUUUGGAGAGGGUAAGUGUACGCAAAAGAGGUUGUUUCCGAUAGACCUUCGGCUCAGGACAUCUAACAAUAUAACAAACACAAAAGCACACAGCAAGAUGAGAUAAUACACUGCUAGGUAAUAAAGAAAAUAAGACACCCACCAGAUACUACUAUAAACUAUCUAUCCAAGAUCAUAGGCACCACUGAAACACCAUGAACAAGAAACUUCAUACGCAAAUACAAACAAAGCACUCUCCCUACUAUAACGGCUUUCCUCCUACCCACUAACCCUCUACCCUAAUACGAGUCCUCCACACCUUCCUAUCAAGGGUCAUGUCCUCCGUAAGCUGUAACUGCUCUAUAUCAUGCCUAAUAACCUCUUUCCAAUACUUCUUUGGCCUACUUCUACCCCACCUAAAACCAUCCAUAGUCGAGGGUCAUGUUCGCCGUAAGCUGUAACGGCUCCAUAUCAUGCCUAAUAACCUCUCUCCAAUACUUGUUCGGCCUACCUCUACCCUACCUAAAACCAUCCAUAGUCAAGGAUCAUGUCCUCCGUAAACUAUAACUGCUCCAUAUCAUACCUAAUAACCUUUCUCCGGUACUUCUUCGACCUACCUCUACCCCACCUAAAACCAUCCAUCGUCAGCCUCUCACACCUCCAAAUAUUUAUCAAAAGACACUUGAACUAUCAAUUUUUCUUUUUUCUUAUAUGAACUAUCACCAACUAUUUAUCAAAACACACCUGAACUAUCAGUUGUUCCCUUUAAUUCAGGUAGGAAAAGGGAACAUACGACAAUGGACCUGUGUUUUGCUAAAUACUUCAGAUAUGAAACUCGCAAAAACGUGAUACUUCAGGUGCGUUUUUUAGCAUUAUAUCCUAUACAUAUUCAGCUCUAUUUACGCACAUUUUAUAGAAAAAAUAAAUCUCUUAUGUGAACAAUUUGUCACAAUCUAAAGCUCAAUUAACAUUACCAAAUGCAGAAAGGCAAAAAUAUGAGUACCUCGGGAGCCUUUUGAAUAAUCUCUUGUACAUAAUUUUCACCAAAACAUCUAUGUCCAGCUUCAUAAACUUGGUUAAUAAGAGAAAUAGGCUUCGUUUUGCUCACCGCCACCACUCUGACGUCAUCAGCACGGCGGCCGGACCUCUCCGCCGCCUGCCUUACACGGUGGAGCACUGACCGGAGCGCCGUCACGGCUAGUCCCUCGGCGGCCGGAGCAGCCAUUUCUGCUUCAGGCUAUGUUUGGGGGCGCGUUGUUCUCACGCGCUGUAUCAAUUUCGUGCCCCUUCUAUAACCACCAAAAGAAUGGCGGGUAUUUGUUUACUUAUCACACUUAUUUUACGAAGAUUAAUGAAUUAAUAUUUGAAAAUUGAGAUUAAAUUAACUUAGGUUAUUAAAUAUUUAAAAUUAUACGAAAAAGUAGUAUUAUAUCUUUUUAAUACUAAUAUGAUGAAAAUAUAUAUUUUCAACGUACAUAUUGAACGUAUGAGUGUCUUCCCGGGCCUACGACCUUCCUAUGGCCCAAUAUAUAUAAGAUCGACUUCAAACUUCUAACACAAAGUUAUGCGGUGCAUAGGCUAUGUCCCUUGCAACUUUGGGUUCAAACGAGUGUUAUAUCUUCCUCACCGCAGCUCAAGUCGACUCUUUUUCGUCGAGUCUAAAGGAUUAAGACGUACGUCGAAAUACGUUCACCCUAAUUUUUAUAUGUAAUACUUUGGUCAUCAGAGAGUAUCUUUACAAGAAGCCCCAGAGGACGACUAAAAUGGGAACAUUGGCCCAACACCUGACCCACUUGCCUAAUCCAAGAAGCCCAAAACCACUACAACAAAAACACACCCUCAGACGACGCGCAUUUUCCUAGCUUUGAUGUAUAAAGUUAUCUGAUAUUUAUUACCGGUGAGAGGUGGCAGGUAUCCCGUGAAUAUAGUCGAAGUGUGCAAAAGUUAGCCCGGACACCACGUUUAUAAAAACAAAAGGGCAAUUUUCAUAAAUUCUAACAGUUUAGUACAAAAUUACAUAAAAUUCUGACUAUUUUUAUAUUCACGUAAAAUCUCAUUUUCUUUUUCAUUAUUAUUAUACAUAGCUAAGACUCGUGAUACAUCACUAUCUGAUACAUAAGUAUCGAUAAAUAACUGUUAAGUAUUGAUAUCACAAGAUUUAUUUAAAUAGUUAUGUCUUAUACAUCAGUAGCACAAAAAUGUUCUGAUACAUGAUUUUUGUAAAUUUUCAACCAAACACGUCUUUACUGUGUAUCUGUAGCUUAAUAUUCAGUAAGAUACAUAACUUUUGGAUAUUUGGUGGAGGAUCUUGUGAUUUAUCUUCUUGUCCUUUUCUACUGGAUACAUUAUUCUUAUGUAUCUCCGAACUCUUUUAACACAUAUAUCAUUCUUAUAUAUCUUUAUUAACAUCAUCAUCUUCAACACAUACAUCAUUCUUAUGUAUCUUUAUUAAUAUCAUCUUCUUCAACCUCUAUUGACGAAUCUCCAAACUUUAGAAUUCCUCGUGGCUUGAACUACCAUGUACGUCGCCGUGGAUUUGAGAUGUGAUGGUGUAGUACAUCAUGGAUUUGAGAUCUGAUGGUGAAAAUUUGAGAUCUAUAUAUGAAUUCUUUCUGAAUCAUUCGAGAUCUGUAUAUUCAUUCGUCGUGGACGAGCUUGCCAUUGUGUUGGUUGGUGUGAGCUCAUUGAAGCUCGGGUGAUUUCAUCGUUGUUGUGUCGUGGUUCGCUCUGAUUUCAUCAAAGUUGGAGCUCCUCGCCAGAGCUAUGUCUUAAAUGGACGGGAGUGAUAGACAGAGCUGCAAGUAGUAGUUAGGUAGAUAAGUUAAGCAAUGGUUUUUGGGUUGUGUUGAUCACCGAUGAGGAGAAGGGAGAAAGAGGGUCGACUAUGUUGAGCAAAGAGAUAUUUUUUCUUUGUGAUAUUUUAGGAUUUGGAAUCUGGGGUAAUGCAUCUGCCCCGUUUAGACAGAGAAAGAGAAAUCAGAGAUUUUUGUAAUAAUUUUAAGCGAUCGAAAUUUUAAGCAAUAAUGAUAAGUUAAGGUGGACAUUGGGCCAACACCUGACCUCACUUGCCUAAGUCAACAAGCCCAAAUCCACUGCUCCAAAAACAUACUCUCAAUCCCCCAAACAUGGACUCAACAACACAAGCUUAUUUGCUCCAAUAAUUCCCAAUUCUCUAGGGUUUCUUUCUUUCUCACUCCGGCGAUGGAUCUAGAGGUCAGCGACCGCCAUGCCCUCCUCUUUGCCGAUGACUCCACGUCGGCGUUCUUCAACUGCUACGAUGCACAUUUGUCCCAGCCUUGAUGUACAAAGUCAUUUUAUAUCUGUUGCUGGUGAGAGAUGGUAGGUUUCCUAUGAAUUUAGUCGAAGUGCGCAAAAGCAGGCCCGAACGCCACGUUUAUCAAAGUAUAAAAAUUGCCUUAGGUAGAAAUUGGGCCCAACACCCGAGCCAACUUGCCUAAUUCAACAGGCCCAAAUCCACUAUAACAAAAACACACUCUCCAAUCUUAUUGCUCCAAAAAUUCCGAAAAUUCCCAAUUCCCUAGGGUUUCUAUCUUUCUCAUUCCGGCGAUGGAUCUAGAGGUCGUCGGCCGCCAUGCUCUCCUCUUCGACGAUGACUCCACGGCGGCGUUCGUCAACUCCGGCGAAGCUCUUGUUGAUUGGAACUCUCUUCAGAUUGAUCGUUACGAUGUUCGACACCUUCUCUCCGGUCCUCCACCGUCACGACGGCGGUCUCAGUCUUCUUCUUCUUUGGUUAACUCCGUUGAUGCUUCGAUUCAGCUCGAGCUUGAUCAUGAACGGUACCUUGAUCUUCCUUCGCCUUCAGAUGAACCAGGUUAACUUUGCUCUCGCUUCCUCGUCUUUGUUUGAAUGUAUCGUGGUUAUAUUUCGUGUAUAUUGUGUUGAUUUUAGGCGAAAAUGUUUAGAAGUUAAAACUGAUCGAAUAAUCGAUGAUGACUUGCUAGCUGAUGUUAAUAUUUGUUGUGUAUAUAUAUUAUGUUGAUUUUAACUGAAAAUGUUUAGAAAAACUGAUCGAAUAAUGAUAAUGACUGGAUAUCUGAUGUUAAUAUUCGUUGUAUUUAUUGUCGAUUUUCUCGAGCUGAGGGUCAAUUCAGCUCGAGCUUGAUCAUGUACGUUACCUUGAUCUUCCUCUGCCUUCAAAUGAACCAGGUAAAUUUAACUCUUGUGCUUCCUUAAUUUUUUUUUAUAUUGAAUGUAUUGAGGUGAUUUUUCGUGUAUAAAUUGUUUGUUUUAGCAUAAAAAUGUUUAGAAGUUCACUAUUGGAUAGUCGAUAAUGACUGGCUAGCUGAUGUCAAUAUUUGCUGUAUAUAUUGUCGAUUUUGAGCUCGAGCUGAGGGUCGAUUCAGCUCGAGCUUGAUCAUGUAUUUACCUUGAGAGUAAUUGAUAAUGACUGGGUAGCUGAUGUUAAUAUUAGUUGUAUGUAUUGUCGAUUUUGAGCUCGAGCUGAGGGUCGGUUCAGCUCGAGCGUGAUCAUGUACGUUACCUUGAUCUUCCUUUGCCUUCAAAUGAACCAGGUAAACUUAACUCUCGUGCUUAAUUUUUUUUUUGAAUGUAUCAAGGUGUUUUUUCGUGUAUAUGUUGUUGAUUUUAGCAUAAAAAUGUUUAGAAGUUAACGAUUUGGAUAGUCGAUAAUGAGUGGCUAGCUGAUGUUAAUAAUUGUUGUAUAUAUUGUCGAUUGUGAGCUCGAGCUGAGGGUCAAUUCAUCUUGAACUUGAUCAUGUACGUUACCUUGAUCUUCCUCUGACUUCUGAUGAACUAGUUUAACUCAACUCUUGCUUGCUUCCUAUGUUUUUUUGUUCACACGUUGCAGCGGAUUCUUUUUGUGUAUAUAUUUUUGUUGAUUUUAGCAUGAAAUGUUUUGAAGCUAACAAUCUGAUAAACAAUAAUGAGUGACUAGCUGAUGUUAAUAUUAUGUUGAUUUAGCAUAAAAUGUUUAGAAGUUAACAGUUUGAUAAACAAUAAGGAGUGGCUUGCUGAUGUUAGUAUUUGUUCUAUAUGUUUGUUGCUUUUAGCAUAAAAUGUUUUGAAGGUAAUGAUCCGGUAAACAAUAAUGAGUGGCUAGAUGAUGUUAAUAUCUGUUAAGUGGUUCUUUCUACUAUCCGUGUAUAUAUUGUUAAUUGUAGCGUAGACCGUUUAGAAGUUAAUAAUCUGAUAAACGAUAAUAAGUGGCUAGCUGAUGUUAAUAUCUGUUUAAGUUUUUUUUUUUCUGCUAGUUGUGUAUAUAUUGUUGUUUUUUUGCAUAAAAUGUUUAUAAGUUAACAGUUUGAAAAACGAUAAUGAGUAUUCCUGAUGUUAAUAUUUGUUGUGCAUUUAAUUGAUUUUAGCGUAAAUUGAUUAGAAGUUAACAAUUUGAUAAACGAUAAUGAGUGGCUAGCUGAUGUUAACAUUUGUAGUAUAUAUUGUUAUUUUAGCGUAAAAUGGUUAGAAGCUAACAAUCCAGUAAGGAAUAAUGAGUUGCUUGCCGAUGUUAAUUUCUGUUAAGUGGUUCUCAGGUGAAAUACAUAUAUAUAUAAUGGAACUGCUUCAAAUUAGAUAUAUUUAUGCUGACUUUGCAGACUUAAUGUUAGGGAUAAUCGUAUCUAGUUUGUAAUUAUCUGUAUUUAGUUUGUAGGUAUCUGUUAAAUUACACUAUUUAUUUUGAACGCAUAUAUAAGUACAUGUAAUGCAUGGCAGAGUUCAUAGGCUUGAAAAAAUCAUUUGGGUGUCAUUUUACCCAAACUCAACACUUCAAGUGCUGGAUUUGUAUCUGCAACAAUUUGUUGCCUGAGCUAUUUACAGUGCUCACUAAUGGGAUUUCCUAGCGUGGACAACCCAACCCAACCCAACCCAAAUAAAAUAAAAUAAAUAAAUAAAAAGGAUCUGCUAUCCAUCGAGUGCAUUUGCUGCAGUGAACAGACUUAAUUGACAUUAGAAAAUGUAAAUAAAUAUAUAGAACUAUCUUGGGGCAUAGUUGAGGGUCCAUUCUGCACCUGUCUUUGGUAUUCUUUUUCAUUGUGAAAACUUCCUCCGAUGGUAUCAUUUUCUGUUUAAGUUAUUUUGUUGUAUAUUCCCCUAUAUGUUCUUCAGCUUCACAAUGCUGAGGACCUCACCUAGAUGGUUAUUAGAAGUGUAUUUCUUAUUCAUCUUCCGAGGGGGCAACUGAGAAUAAUGUUUUGUUGUUAUGAAAAUGGCGUUGAUAGCAAAUGUUUAUAUAGGCAGGCAGUGCGCAGGCAGUGCCUUCCUAUAAUGUAGGCUGUGGAAAUGUAGCAUGCUUGCUGCCUAGAUAGCGACUGUAGAUUUCUCUUAGCUUCACAAUAGGACCUCUUAUACACAUUUCCAUAUCCCACAACUAGUAAGAUCGUUGUUGCAUAUCAAUGCAAGUAUCAUUAUUUUAACCUCAUCUCAUUCUGUCUCGAGUUCUUUUUCCUAUUGCUUCUGUGUAUGUGACACUGCUCUUGGAUAGUACAUAAAUAUGUUUCUAUAAUUUCUUCCCUCAGAAGUAGAAGAAGGUGAAGAGCCGGCAGAUGCUGGUGCUUAUCGUGCUGUUGGUUUCUCAUAUGGAAACACUGAUGAUUUUGCUGACAGAAAGAGUUCUGAGGCCCAGGAAAGCUCCGACUUCCGUCCCUCCUUUCCAGUGCCGGAAAGCCUUCUUCAGUGCUUGGUAAGCUUGUGCUCUGUGAUUUGUUUUUCUUGUCUGCUUUCGUAAAGCUUGGAUAUUGGUGUUUUCAUGCUUACGAGGUUUUCCCAUGUGGCCAAUGCUACUAGUUGUCUAAACCAUAUGUUAUUCUAAGGCUCACUGUGUCUAAGUUUUCAGAUGCUCGGAGCAGGGAUGGAGUUCCUUUGUCUAAGGUUGCCACUGACAGGCACCUUGUUCCCUUUUGAUGCAUGAGCAAGGGGCAGUGCAGGUGGGAUUAGGAAUGUAAAAAGUUUUCUUUGUAAGGACAAUUUGUUGCUAGUUGAGAGGGAUCUUCCCUUAAUUCACUUGAUAUUGCUCUUUUAUUCAUACUUGUGGAUUGGUAUGUUUGAAGCUUCAGAUUAUAUGUAAGGUUCUAGCUUAUUUUUAUCCAGAAUUGUGAAUUCUACAUUUUAAUGAAGUCUUUUGUUUCUUUUGGUUUUCAAUCUUUUUGCAGCCACCAACAGAAAAGUUACAUCAGAUAAUUGCCAGGACUGCUCUGUUUGUGAGCAAACAUGGUGGGCAGUCAGAGAUUGUUCUCAGAGUGAAGCAGGGAGACAAUCCAACAUUUGGGUUCUUAAUGCCUGAUCACGCUCUUCAUGCAUACUUUAGGUUUCUUGUUGAUCAUCCCGAACUUUUACAGUCUGAUAGUGAUUUGAACACUCAAGGUGAAGGGAAAAAUACUUCUAAUGAGCACAAGGAACAUGAUGGUGUUGGAGGUGCUUUAUCUAUGCUUGGUUCUGUAUAUGGGUUUGGGGAGGAUGAGGAGCCUGCAAAUGGGGAUGAUCCUGGAUCCAGAGUUUCCAGUGCACCGGUUGAUGUCUCUGAUAUCUCUAACAUUUCCCGUCCGCUUGAAAGGGCUGAAUCUAGUUCUAAGGCAUUUGAAAAUGGUGUGAGAGAAAAAGAUGAGAAAGUUUCAACUCAUUCUCUUCGUUCUGGUAAAGAUAAAGAAAAGACUCCUGCAAUGAAAACGAAUAAUUUGAUUAGUGCUUCCAAGAGCGGAAGUAGAAGGAGCACGCGGAAGGAAGAUAACUCUAGUUCGUUGGCUGCAUCAAAAAAGACAAAGUUAGAUAUUUCUGGUUUAGGAGCUAUGACUAAGCCUGGACCUUUGGUGGAGCCUCCAUCUGAAUUGAAGAAAUUGAUUGAUAAGAUUGUAGAGUUCAUUCUGAAGAAUGGAAAGCAGUUUGAGUCUACUCUUAUGGAACAGGACAGCAAACACGGGCGAUUCCCGUUUCUUCUUCCGUCCAACCAGUAUCAUCCUUACUAUCUAAAAGUACUCCAGAGAGCUCAAGAGGUGAAAGUUCUCUCUCUGUCUGGGAAAUGUCAUAUGGGUUCUUCUUCAUUCAAAUGGCUAGUCUUUUUAAAGUUUUUUUAAUGAACUUAAAUUUGAGCAUAUUUUCUUAGUUUCUUGAACUUAGCAUUUGUUUCUUUGACCAAUUAGCAGUAUUUUCUCUUUGGUUCUCGAUUAUUGGUGUAGCUAAUGCAUGUGAGCCUGGUUAUACUACUUUCCUUUUGGAGAGAAGUGUGUGGAAUUACUUUUAACAUUGCGUCUUUGUCUCCACUUUGUUGUGCAGUCAAAAGUCCAUGGAUCAGAAAAGAGAUCUUCUUUGAAGGGAAGUGAUUCUACCUCUUUAGGAUCUGCAGAGAAUGAUCUGCCAUAUGUAUAUGAUAAGAAAGAGAAGUUUAAGAUGGUGAUUGGCAAAUCCAAGAAGGAAACACAAGACUCUUCGGCUAGAGCUUCACAGCAAGAGGUUGAGGUCGGUGUGGACGCUGCUGCUGCUGCUGCUAUCCUUCAGGCUGCCACUAGAGGUAUUAAGAAACCCAAUUUGAGUAUCAUCUCAGGCUCAUCUAAGAACGGCGAUAGUCAGGGUCACAGCAGUGAUGGUGCCCAAGCCUCAAGCUUCUCCAAUGUACCUCCGCGUGGGCCCAGUAUAGUUGGUCAGAAGUCGGACAAGAGGAUGGAACAUAGUGUUUCGAUUCCAAAGGUGAAGGAAAUUGCAAAGUCUGCUGCCGCUGAAGCUGCAGGUGAAGCAGAUUCCUCUGAAGCACACUUGAGCAAAGAGCAGAAGCUAAAAGCGGAGAGGCUGAGAAGGGCGAAGAUGUUUGUUGCCCUUUUAAAAGGUGGAGCAGCUCCUGCCAAAAGAGAUUCACUUGGAGGGUCAGUGGAACUACAAGAAUCUGCCAUAUCAGGCUCUGUUGCAGAGACUAAAGUUGUUACUAAAGAAAGAGAGGGCAGUGCAGCUCCGGCAGAACUGACUGCUAGGGAGAGGGAAGGCAGUACAGCUCCAUUAAAUAACAAUAUGUCGAAUGAAAAUGAGAUAUCUGAAAUGAAAAAUACUGUUGAAGAGCACGAGCGGCGAGCUAGAAGGAAAUACAGGUCAAGAUCUGGUAUGCACAAAGAUGAGGAUGAAGAGGAAGAGAGACAGGAAGAAGAGGAGGAAGAGGAACAGCGCUCUAGGAAGAAGCGCCGCUCUUCAAGAAAAGAUGACGAGGAAGAAAGUGGUGAGGCAAGGGAUGAUAAGCGAUCCAGAAAAAAGAGGCGAUCACGCCGUCAGAGACACAGAGAUAGUGAAAAUGCUGAUGGGGAUGAGGAUGAUGAAGAUACUAGGCGAUCAAGAAAGAAGCAUCGCAGGCGACAUUCAUCCCCCGAAGAUGAUGACGAGCAAAGAGAUGCAGAGAGACAUCAUAAGCAUGGAAGGAAAAAACAUUCAAGUCAUCGGUCUUCACGUGAAAAUAGGAAAGAUGAUUAUGAGGGGGAUCAUAAGCAUUCCAAGAAGAAACGUAAAUCUCACAGAAGCUCCCACCGCAGCAGAG
rnacentral:lncRNA from 1 species